UGCUGGGAAGUGUGAAAUGGAGUUUCACUCUUGUAGCCCAGGCUGGAGUGGAGUGGCGCAAUCUCGGCUCACUGCAACCUCCGCCUCCAGAGCUCAAGAGAUGCUCUUGCCUCAGCCUCCCGAGUAGCUAGAUGUUAGGUGUAGCUAAAGUGAGAUGCCUAAGCUAUGGCAGCUGAGGUUGGCCGGCCACUCCGGACUGUGCUCUGAGCAGCCACGGGGGCCGAGCUCACAGCGCAGGUGAAGGUGUAUUCGUUACAAAAUGAGCACUGGGGUGUCUUUCAGGCAGGGGCAAGUCUUGUGGGGCGGCCCCUGCAGAUGCGGUUGGUUGGCUUUCAUCUCGGGGGUGCCCGGUAAACGUGCAGAGAGGACAGGAACCUCUGUGAGCUCAUCCCAGCCUCUAUUCCCCGCUAGAGCUCUGCAUGGGGUCCCAGGAAUUGGAGUCUCAGGAUGCUUUUGUCAUGAGCACUCUGACUCAUUGACAGAGCAGCCAGCAGCUCUUCAAAUGGACCGAGUACCCAACAAGCCAGGGUCUCUCCGUUUUGUCAUCCCACACCCACAGGCGGGACAGUUUCUGACAUUUCAGCCUGAGCUAAUUAGGCAUUUGUUCCUAGUCACAGCUCAUCUUGUAACAGAUGCACCUUCACCUGCGCCGUGAGCUCGGCCCCCGUGGCUGCGCAGAGCAGUCUGGAGUGGCAGGCCGACCGCAGCCGCCACCACUCAGGCCUCUCACCUUUGCUUAAUUACACCCACCCCUGCAAUAGCUCUUCCAGACCUUUCUGGGUGUUUUUUUUUUUCCUUUUUGAGAUGGAGUCUUGCUCUUGUUGCCCAGGCUGGAGUGCAGUGGCUCAGUCUGGGCUCACUGCAACCUCCAACUCCUGGGUUCAAGCGAUUUUCCUGUUUCAGCUUCCCAAGUAGCUGGGAUUACAGGCGCCCACCACCACGCCCGGCUAAUGUCAUACUUUUAGUAGAGACAGGGUUUCACCAUGUUAGCCAGGCUGGUCUUGAACUCCUGACCUCAGGUGAUCCAACGGUCUCAGCCUCCCAAAGUGCUGGGAUUACAGGCAUGUGCCACCACAUCCAGCCUAGACCUUUCCGUGCUUUGGGGGCAUCUCUGUACCCAUGCCUUGGGGCCCAUCCAUCAGGGAUAGUAGGUUUUGGGCCCCACACAGACAUGGACAGCCAGCCCGAGAUUCCCCCUGUGGGUUUCCUCCUCUCCAGCCCCGUCGACUCUGUGUGCACAGGAUUUUCUCCGACAUCCUGCUGGGAUCAUCAGCUCUCGUGCCAGAUGUCUGUUAACGUGAGUAUCCGUGGCACCAGGUUCAAGAAGAGACCCGGAGCCGGCACACACAACAGGGCUUAUUUGCGAGAACUUGCAGGGUGGGCCAGUGGUGGUGGGCUGGACGGGAGAACCACGGCCACUUGCAAAAAGCAUGCAGUUCAGCCGGGCGCGGUGGCUCAGGCCUGUAAACCCAACACUGGGAGGCCGAGGUGGGCAGAUCACUUGAGGUCAGGAGUUCAAGAACAGCCUGACCAAUGUGGUGAAACCCCAUCUCCACUAAUAAUUUAGCCCGUCGUGGUGGCGGGCGCCUGUAAUCCCAGCUACUCAGGAGGCUGAGGCUGGAGAUUGCUUGAACCUGGGAGGCAGAGGUUGCGGUGAGCCAAGAUCACGCCACUGCACUCCAGCCUGAGCUACAAGAGUGACACUCCAUCUCAAAAAAACAAGAAAAAACAGUUCCUAGGGAACUCUCACUCGGCAUCCUCCUCGCUAGCAAGCUCCAUGUGGCAACCCUCGUUCUCAGGGUGGAGUUAGGUUAUUGCUGUCAGGUGUAUCUGCCCGAAGGGUGGGCUUAAGGAAAGUUAUUGCCAUCAGCUGUGUCUACCAGAUACGCCCAAGCUCCCUUUUGUCUAGAGGCCUGAGGUAUUGUGACAGCUUUAUUGAAAUGUGAUUCCUACAUCAUACAAUUAACCUAUUUACAAUUUACAGUUCAGCCGGACAUGGUGGCUUACUCCUGUAAUCCCAGCACUAUGGGAGGCCGAGGCCGGCGGAUCACCUGAGGUCAGGAGUUUGAGACCAGCCUGACCAACAUGGUGAAACCCCGUCUCUACUAAAAAUACAAAAAUUAGCUGGUCAUGGUGGCGCAUGCCUGUAAUUUCAGCUACUGGGGAGACUGAGGCAGAAGAAUGGCUUGAACCUGGGAGGUGGAGGUUGCGGUGAGCCAAGAUUGUGCCAUUGCACUCUAGCCUGGGCAACAAGAGCAAGACUCCAUCUCAAAAACAAACAAAUGACUCAGAGGUUAGCAUGAUAUCAUCGAUGUAAUAGAAAACGUACCCCUCUAGGGUGGUCCAUAUACUGAGGUAUGUGACCACUAGGCAUUGAUACACAGUGAGGCCAUGGAAAUAUCCCCGCUGCAAGGCAGUCAAGGUCUCUUCUUCCCAGGUGGUGAGGUUAGGCUUUGUGAUCUCCGUAGUACCGAGGGCGGGGGAGAGACCAGGUGGAGGUAGUGAGUCAGGGGCCGUUUCCCCAUGCUGUUCUCGUGGUAGUGAGUGAGAGCUCCCGAGAUCCGAUGGUUAUAUAACGGCUCUUCCUCCUUCGCUGGGCCUCGUGAAGAGGGUGGUUUGCUUCCCGUUCGUUUUCUGCCAUGAUCGUAAGCUUCCUAAGGCGUUCCCCGCCAUGCUGAACUGUGAGUUAAUUAAACGUCUUUCCUUUAUGAAUUACCCGGUUUGGGGCAGUUCGUAGCAGCAUGAACAUGGACUCCUAUACUAGGUGAAUGCAAUUACAAAAAUUACAAAGUGAGGCGUGCCCAGUCCCUCUCCUGUCCUCAUCAGAAAGGAGACCAUGUGGGAACGGCUGCACACCUUAGGGGGAUCACUUUAAUCCCCAGUAAUCUGUCAUUCUCCGCCUCCCAUCAGGCAUCCACAUGGGCCAUGCAGGGUUUGUAUGGACUGUUCACUGGUCUUUUUUUUGUUUUUUUGAGACCAAGUCUUGCUCUGUUGCCCAGGCUGGAGUGCAGCAGCGCCAUCUCGGCUCACUGCAACCUCCGCCUCUUGGGUUAAAUCGAUUCUCCUCCCUCAGCCUCCCUCCCUCAGUGGACUACAGACGCCCGCCACCAUGACCAGCUAAUUUUUAUAUUUUUAAGAGACAGGGUUUCACCAUGUUGGCCAGGCUGGUCUCCAACUCCUGACCUUGUGAUCCGCCCACCUUGGCCUCCCAAAGUGCUGGGAUUACAGGCUUGAGCCACCGCGCCCGCCCUGUUCACUGGUCUUAAAUCCACCCAGACUUACUCCUUUCCUUUUCAGUCCCCACGAUCUCAUCAGCACCUCCUGGAAGGCGCUGUUUCAAUGCUGCUAUUCACAGAGGGGCUGGCAGCUGUGCUGCUGCCUGUUUCCCAUUCCCCCUGAUCACAGGCUUCACCGUGGUCCUAACUCUCAGUAGGAAUUUGGAGGGUCAAGCCUGAUGAGACAGCCAUUCCCCAAGAGGCACCCUGGGGUAGGGACUCUGUGUACUAACUAGAGUCUGGGCAGCAGUCUCCUAACUUGCCUCAACCUGUCUGACUUUCUCGGGCCCCUCGGGAGGCUAAGGCAGGAGCAUCACUUGAACCUGGGAGGUGAAGGUUGUGGUGAGUCGAGAUCAUGCCAUUGAACUCCAGCCUGGGCGAUAGUGAGACUGUCUCAAAACAAGAAUGCACAGGCUGUGUUUGCUCUUACUGGGAUCCUGAGCCUUUAGCCUUUGUCCUCGUCUAAAGGGGUUGGCACCUGCAUCCCUAUGUGGGAGGCGCAGUGGGCUGAGUAUGAGGACUCUUACGGAAGCGCUGUGUUGGCCGGACCUUCUGCCACAGGCUGACCAGAACAGCACUGUGUUUAUUUUCACAGUAAGCGUUCCCACCACUAGCUGGUCACACCACAUUGCUGUUAUAGGCCACCGCAACUACGAUGUCACCGCAUACGAGUGCAUUCAGCUCCAGUAUUCCUGGGGCAAACACAGCCUGUGCAUUCUUGUUUUUUUGAGACAGUCUCACUGUGUCACCCAGGCUGGAGUGCAAUGGCGUGAUCUCGGCUCACCGCAACCUUCGCCUCCCGGGUUCAGGUGAGGCUCCUGCCUUAGCCUCCUGAGUAGCUGGGAUUACAGGUGCCUGCCACCACACCCAGCAAAUUUUUGUAUUCUUAGUAGAAUCAGGGUUUCACCAUGUUGGCCAGGCCGGUUUUGAACCCUUGACCUUGUGAUCCACUUGCCUCGGCUUCCAAAAGUGUUGGGAUUACAGGCAUAAGCCACCGUGCCCAGCCAGCCUGUGCAUCUUAGGUGACCAUUAUCUAGUUAGCUCUGUAUGUGGCCGCCAGUCUCCAGACACCCAGCCACUGUUGCUCUUACCGGCAUCCUGGGCCCUUAACCUUUGUCCUAGUCUAAAGGGGUUGGCACCUGUUAUUCUAUGUGGGACAUGGAAUAACAGAGCCGUCAGAGGUGGUCCCCUGACAGCCCCUUGGCUGUUUUUCCUUUGGCUCCCCCCACUUUUUUUUAGGCAGAAUUUCAGUCUGUCCCCCAGGCUGGAGUGCAAUGGUACAAUCUCUGCCCACUGCAAACUCUGCCUCCUAGGUUCAAGCAAUUCUCCUGCCUCAGCCUCCUGAGUAGCUGAGACUACAGGUGCACGCCACCAUGCCCGGCUAAUUUUUGUAUUUUGAGUAGAGACGGUUUCACCAUGUUGGCCAGGCUGGUCUUGAACUCCUGACCUUGUGAUUUACCCACCUCAGCCUUGCAAAGUGCUGGGAUUCCAGGCGUGAACCACCACACCUGCAGCUCCCUUGUUCUUAUCCCAGCAUGGUACACACCUCCUAUGCAGGUUGUUUUUUUUUUUUUUUUAGACAGAGUUUUGCUCUUAUUGCCCAGGCUGGAGUGCAGAGUGCAAUGGCGCGAUCUCGGCUCACUGCAACCUCCGUCUCCCAGGUUCAAGGGAUUCUCCUGCCUCAGCUUCCAGAGUAGCUGGGAUUACAGAGAAGCCACCCUGUGAUCAACUGUCUCCCGCUCUGCCUGAGCCUGCUUCCCGAUUCCACAGCCCUGGCUUGGGAGACCUAGGCUCCAGGUCUCUUCUUCAGCCUCUUGAACCUCAGCCCCGUCGACUCUGUGCGCACAGGAUUUUCUCCGACCUCCUGCUGGGAUCAUCAGCUCUCGUGCCAGAUGUCUGUUAACGCUGGAGUGCAGAGUGCAAUGGCGCGAUCUCAGCUCACUGCAACCUCCGUCUCCCAGGUUCAAGGGAUUCUCCUGCCUCAGCUUCCAGAGUAGCUGGGAUUACAGAGAAGCCACCCUGUGAUCAACUGUCUCCCGCUCUGCCUGAGCCUGCUUCCCGAUUCCACAGCCCUGGCUUGGGAGACCUAGGCUCCAGGUCUCUUCUUCAGCCUCUUGAACCUCAGCCCCGUCGACUCUGUGCGCACAGGAUUUUCUCCGACCUCCUGCUGGGAUCAUCAGCUCUCGUGCCAGAUGUCUGUUAACGGAACCAACUCAGGGGGAGGAGGGCCAAGAUUCCCCUCUGGCCCUCAGUUCUCAAAGACCCCUGUGAGGACGUUUUGCAGCCUGGCACCCGAGACGUGUCCUGUCAAGUCUGCUGCCCUUGGUGACCUAAGCUUCAGCUUUCCUCAGGAUGCAAUGGGCUCGAAAAGAAGCCAGGGAGGCCCUGGAGGAAUUACCUGGUCUGACAAGAAGAGUCUUCCAAGACAUCCCAGACCCCGUUCCCUGUCCGGGAGGCUCAAGGCCACCAAGCUGAAAACCACGUCAGUCUAGACACAGAUCCGGUUCUCACACAUGGAGAUGAUCGAGGGCAGUGGCUGCCUCUGCACCACGCCCGGCUCUGGAAGCAGCUUGUCCCCGGGCUGUGCAGCGUGAGCUAUGACAGCAUUCUGGUAAGUGAGGGGCCCAGCCCCUGGUAACCCCCCGUCUCCCUCUGUGGGCUCAAGGUCUCUGCCCACCUUGUCCACCCUGCUGCGUGUGUCCUGCUGAGCUUGUACAACAGAACCGCCAGCUCCUGGGAUUUCUUCUAUUUCAGCUCCUCUAGGGGUUAACAUCACUGUCAAAAUACAGUUCUCUAUUCAUUUAUUUAUUUAUUUUUGAGACGGAGUUUCACUCUUGUUACCCAGACUGGAGUGCAAUGGCGCGAUCUCGGCUCACCGCAACCUCUGCCUCCUGGGUUCAAGCAAUUCUCCUGCCUCAGCCUCCCAAGUAGCUGGGACUACAGGUGUGCACCACCAUGCCCAGCUAAUUUUUGUAUUUUUAGUAGAGACGGGGUUUCACCUUGUUGUCCAGGAUGGUCUCGAUCUCUUGACCUCGUGAUCCACCCGCCUCGACCUCCCAAAGUGCUGGGAUGAUAGGUGUGAGCCACCGCGCCCGGCCGCCGUUCUCUUUAUAGAGAGCUGCUGUUCACAGACCACUUGAAGACGGGCCUCCUAUUGACCCGAUCCCCACAUCUCUGCGUGCAGACACCUGCGGGCGACCUUUCAGAUCAGACCACAGUCUCGCCAGCUGAGCCAUCUCCACCUCCCUGACUUUUGACCGUGCAUGUUAACCCCUAAGGAGCUGACUGGCACCAAUUCCAGUUACCCAUUUGGAGCCUCCCCCUCCCCGCCCUGGAGAUAGAGUUUCGCUCUUGUUGCCCAGGCUGGAGUGCAGUGGCGUGAUCUUGACUCACUGAAACCUCUGAGGCUCAGGCUCAGUCAAUCUCCUGCCUCAGCCUCCCAAGUAGCUGGGAUUAUAGGCACCUGCCACCACCCGGCUAAUUUUUUGUAUUUUUGUUUUGUUUUGUUUUUUUAGUAGAAACGUGGUUUUACCAUGUUUGUCAGGCUGGUCCCAAACUCCUGACCUGAGGUGAAUUACAGGCAUGAGCCAUGGUGUCUGGCCUUUUUUUUUUUUUUUUUUUUAAGAUGGAGUCUUGUGGUGUCACCCAGGUUGGAAUGCAAUGUUAUGAUCUCAGCUCACUGCAACCUCUGUCUUAAGGAUUCAAGUGAUUCUCCUGCCUCAGCCUCCUGAGUAGCUGCAACUACACGUGCCUGGGACCAUGUCAGCUAACUUUUACAGUUUUUAGUAGGGGUGGGAUUUCACCAUGUGGGCCAGGCUGGUCUUGAACUCCUGACCUCAAGUGAUCUGCCUGCUCCCAAAGUGCCUGGAUUACAGGUGUGAGCCACCGUGUCCGGCCGGAGUAUUGCUCUUGUUACCCAGACUGGAGUGCAAUGGCGCGAUCUCGGCUCACCGCAACCUCUGCCUCCUGGGUUCAAGCAAUUCUCCUGCCUCAGCCUCCUGAGUAGCUGGGAUUACAGGUGCGCACCACCAUGCCCAGCUAAUUUUUGUAUUUUUAGUAGAGAUGGGGUUUCACCAUGUUGACCAGGAUGGUCUCGAUCUCUUGACCACGUGAUCCACCCGCCUCGGCCUCCCAAAGGGCUGGGGUUACAGGCGUGAGCCACUGCGCCCGGCCGGAGUAUUUUCUUUAAAUCCAUCUCCUUGGCAUCUGGAUCAUGCUCCGUUUACAUAAAAAAUGUAUUUCAGGUUGGCCGCAGUGGCUCGUGCCUAAAAUCCCAGCACUUUGGGACGCAGAGACAGGCAGAUCACUUGAGGUCAGGAGUUCAAGAAUAGCCUGACCAAUAUCGUGAAACUCUGUUUCUACUGAAAAUAACAAAAAUUAGCUAUGUCUGGUGGCACACACCUGGAAUCCCACCUACGCUGGAGGCUGAGGCAGAAGAAUCACUGGAACCCAAGAGGCAGACAUUGCAGUGAGCCGAGAUUGUGCCACUGCACUCCAGCCUAGGUGACAGAGCAAGACCCUGUCUUAAACACACUGAAAUACAUUUUUUAUUAGAUCAUUUUGGUGAACUGGUUCCUGCACUCGUGCAAGUGAUCAACUUUUUUUUUGAGACAGUCUUGCUCUGUCACCCAGGCUGGAGUACAGUGGUGCGAUCUCGGUUCACUGCAGCCUCAGCCUUCCACGUCGAGCCAUUCUCCUGUCUCAGCCUCCUGAGUAACUGGUAUUACAGGCUUGCGCCACCACGUCCGGCUAAUUUUUGUAUUUUUAGUAGAGACGGGGUUUCACCAUGUUGGCCACGAUGGUCUCGAUCUUCUGACCUCAUGAUCCUUCUAAAGUGCUGGGAUUACAGGUGUGAGUCACUGUGCCCAGCUGCAGACGGUCAAUCUUCACAUCAUCCAUCUCCAUCCUCAGCUCACCCUCUCUUCACAGCCUCCAAAAUCAACCACUCCUACAAAAGUUGACUUUACUAAAGGUUUGAGAGGGAUGGAUACACAGAGAGAGGGGCCGCAGUUCAUUCUCUCUCCGUUUCUUGUCCUGUCCUUUCACUUAUAAUGUUCUUCUGUGCAGUCUUCAGCCUCAUUAGCUCCUGGCCCUAAACUCACACAAAAGCCAUAAAACCAAGGCCUGGGAGACCGGGCGUGGUGGCUCACUCCUGUAGUCCCAGCUAUGCUGGAGGCUGAGACAGGAGAAUCGCUUGAACCUGGGAGGUGGAGGCUGCAGUGAGCUGAGAUGGUGCCGUUGCAUUUCAGCCUGGUGACAGGGAAAACAAGGCCUGGGAAUGAAGAGUCCACCUCCCCACCCUUGAAAAGCUGUCUCUCCAUGGACUCCCACUCUGGGCAGCUCACGGUUCGCUCUGUGAUAACUAACCUGCUUUUUGGUUUAUACCUGCGCUUUUUAGCUUAAACUGAGUCUCUCUCAGCUGAGACUCCAUCUCAGCGUCUUCAUUUUGGUGACUCCCCUCAUUAAGUAUGCAGCUGUAGCAGCUGGGGCAGGAUGACCCCGGGCGCCUCCCGGACUGCAUUUGCUGAUGAGGCUGAGUACAGCGGCACCAGUGGAGCCCGGAAUGCAGCUGCUGCCGAGCGCCCGGAGCCCCCGUGUCUCUCUCUACCUUGUCGUCCCUGAACGUGUGGCAUCAGGCAGGAGGCCAUGUGCUCCCUUCCCUGAGCCGGGCCACCUUCUCCUCCUCCGAGGCUGGAGGCAAUGAUUAUGUCAAGGCGGCCUACCACCCGCUGCAGCCCUGGGCAACCUGAUAAGCUCCAUGAGGACCACAUCGAUCGUCUUUCUAGUGCUGGGAUAAUGGGCCACCACCAGUGGCCACACCUGUGUUGAGAAAUGAGCCAUCAGAGCCUUGCAGAAAACCAUUAAAAAAGGAAUGCGGCCAGGUGCCAGGGCUCAUGCCUGUAAUCCCAGCACUUUGGGAAGCCAAGGCAGGCGGAUCUCCGGAGGUCAGGAACUGGAGACCAGCCUGGCCAACGUGGUGAAACCCUGUC